rnacentral:rRNA from 1 species
CCUACGGGAGGCAGCAGUGGGGAAUAUUGCACAAUGGGGGAAACCCUGAUGCAGCAACGCCGCGUGAGUGAAGAAGGUUUUCGGAUUGUAAAGCUCUGUUAGCAGGGAAGAGGAAGGACGGUACCUGCAGAGGAAGCAUCGGCUAACUCCGUGCCAGCAGCCGCGGUAAUACGGAGGAUGCGAGCGUUAUCCGGCUUUAUUGGGUUUAAAGGGUGCGUAGGCGGACUGUUAAGUCAGCGGUAAAAGCCCGGGGCUAACACCCGGCGAGCCGUUGAAACUGGCUGUCUUGAGAUGUCGAGAGGUAGGCGGAAUGCGCAGUGUAGCGGUGAAAUGCUUAGAUAUUGCGCAGAACUCCGAUUGCGAAGGCAGCAUACCGGCGGCGAUCUGACGCUGAGGCACGAAAGCGUGGGUAUCGAACAGGAUUAGAUACCCUAGUAGUC